ACGCGCGGCUUCCCAGCCAGCCGCCCUGAAGGACGUGGAGGGGAGGCAGCCAGUCCUGGAAGGGCCUGGGCUUGGACCACAUGGCUUCCCCCAGGGUGAGAGCCGCUUGUCCUCCCACCGUUUGCUUUCUCCUGAUGAUCAGGUUCCAGGAGUUAUCAAAGAAUAGCCUCUGAGCUGCAUGGAGAAAGCCAUGGAGACAGCCAGAAGAAAACCGUAGGAUUAGAUUAACCUGUGAUUCCUGGCUGGCCACGAGGUCACCCAUGGCAUGGAGCUGCCCACAACGCCCUUCUCAGCAUGAAGCAUCCUGAAAAAUUCAGGGCCAGGUUCUCCAGGAUUGGGGAGUUGAAAUGCCUCUUAUUAAAUACCUGACUGACCACACCAUAUAGAGGCCUAACCUAGGUGAAAGACCACCUGUAACAUCACCUCCUGGUAGGAAGAAUCAAUAUCGUGAAAAUGGCCAUACUGCCCAAGGUAAUUUAUAGAUUCAAUGCCAUCCCCAUCAAGCUACCAAUGACUUUCUUCACAGAAUUGGAAAAAACUACUUUAAAGUUCAUAUGGAACCAAAAAAGAGCCCACAUUGCCAAGUCAAUCCUAAGCCAAAAGAACAAAGCUGGAGGCAUCACACUACCUGACUUCAAACUAUACUACAAGGCUACAGUAAUCAAAACAGCAUGGUACUGGUACCAAAACAGAGAUAUAGAUCAAUGGAACAGAACAGAGCCCUCAGAAAUAAUGCUGCAUAUCUACAACUAUCUGAUCUUUGACAAACCUGAGAAAAACAAGCAAUAGGGAAAGGAUUCCCUAUUUAAUAAAUGGUGCUGGGAAAACUGGCUAGCCAUAUGUAGAAAGCUGAAACUGGAUCCCUUCCUUACACCUUAUACAAAAAUCAAUUCAAGAUGGAUUAAAGACUUAAAUGUUAGACCUAAAACCAUAAAAACCCUAGAAGAAAACCUAGGCAUUACCAUUCAGGACAUAGGCAUGGGCAAGGACUUCAUGUCUAAAACACCAAAAGCAAUGGCAACAAAAGCCAAAAUUGACAAAUGGGAUCUAAUUAAACUCAAGAGCUUCUGCACAGCAAAAGAAACUACCAUCAGAGUGAACAGGCAGCCUACAAAAUGGGAGAAAAUUUUCACAACCUACUCAUCUGACAAAAGGUUAAUAUCCAGAAUCUGCAAUGAACUCAAACAAAUUUACAAGAAGAAAACAAACAACCCCAUCAAAAAGUGGGCAAAGGACACGAACAGACACUUCUCAAAAGAAGACAUUUAUGCAGCCAAAAAACACAUGAAAAAAUGCUCACCAUCACUGGCCAUCAGAGAAAUGCAAAUCAAAACCACAAUGAGAUACCAUCUCACACCAGUUAGAAUGGCAAUCAUUAAAAAGUCAGGAAACAACAGGUGCUGGAGAGGAUGUGGAGAAACAGGAACACUUUUACACUGUUGGUGGGACUGUAAACUAGUUCAACCAUUGUGGAAGUCAGUGUGGUGAUUCCUCAGGCAUCUAGAACUAGAAAUACCAUUUGACCCAGCCAUCCCAUUACUGGGUAUAUACCCAAAGGAUUAUAAAUCAUGCUGCUAUAAAGACACAUGCACACGUAUGUUUAUUGUGGCAUUAUUCACAAUAGCAAAGACUUGGAACCAACCCAAGUGUCCAACAAUGAUAGACGGGAUUAAGAAAAUGUGGCACAUAUACACCAUGGAAUACUAUGCAGCCAUAAAAAAUGAUGAGUUCACGUCCUUUGUAGGGACAUGGAUGAAAUUGGAAAUCAUCAUUCUCAGUAAACCAUCGCAAGAACAAAAAA